AUCGGAAUAUUCAUAAAAACUCAUAUAAUCAUGGGGAUAUGGCCCAUAAGUUUCUACCGGAUGACCAAUGUAAUUGUCCGACUAUGAGUGAAGUAGCGCAUCUA
rnacentral:ncRNA from 2 species